rnacentral:rRNA from 1 species
CCUACGGGUGGCAGCAGUGGGGAAUCUUCCGCAAUGGGCGAAAGCCUGACGGAGCAACGCCGCGUGAUCGAAUGAAGGCCUUCGGGUUGUAAAGAUCUGUUGACAGGGACGAAUAAGCCAUGCGAAUAGUUUGGUGUAUGACGGUACCUGUUUAGAAAGCUCCGGCUAACUACGUGCCAGCAGCCGCGGUAAUACGUAGGGAGCAAGCGUUGUCCGGAAUUACUGGGCGUAAAGGGCGCGUAGGUGGGUGCUUAAGUCAGGUGUGAAAACUCUGGGCUCAACCUGGAGACUGCACUUGAAACUGGGUAUCUUGAGGGCAGGAGAGGAAAGUGGAAUUCCUAGUGUAGCGGUGAAAUGCAUAGAUAUCACGCAGAACUCCGAUUGCGAAGGCAGCAUACCGGCGCUCAACUGACGCUCAUGCACGAAAGUGUGGGUAUCGAACAGGAUUAGAUACCCGUGUAGUC